rnacentral:rRNA from 1 species
ACACUCCUACGGGAGGCAGCAGUGGGGAAUAUUGCACAAUGGGCGCAAGCCUGAUGCAGCGACGCCGCGUGGGGGAUGAAGGCCUUCGGGUUGUAAACUCCUUUCGCUAGGGACGAAGCUUUUUUGUGACGGUACCUAGAUAAGAAGCACCGGCUAACUACGUGCCAGCAGCCGCGGUAAUACGUAGGGUGCGAGCGUUGUCCGGAAUUACUGGGCGUAAAGGGCUCGUAGGUGGUUUGUCGCGUCGUCUGUGAAAUUCUGGGGCUUAACUCCGGGCGUGCAGGCGAUACGGGCAUAACUUGAGUGCUGUAGGGGUAACUGGAAUUCCUGGUGUAGCGGUGAAAUGCGCAGAUAUCAGGAGGAACACCGAUGGCGAAGGCAGGUUACUGGGCAGUUACUGACGCUGAGGAGCGAAAGCAUGGGUAGCGAACAGGAUUAGAUACCCGAGUAGUCCCAUGA